UACAGAGGGUGCAAGCGUUGUUCGGAAUUAUUGGGCGUAAAGCGCGUGUAGGCGGCUUUGCAAGUCGGAUGUGAAAGCCCCGGGCUCAACCCGGGAAGUGCACUCGAUACUGCAGAGCUUGAGUGUCGGAGAGGUUGGUGGAAUUCUCGGUGUAGAGGUGAAAUUCGUAGAUAUCGGGAGGAACACCGGUGGCGAAGGCGGCGAUCUGGGUAGAUACUGACGCUGAGGUGCGAAAGCGUGGGGAGCAAACAGG
rnacentral:rRNA from 1 species